rnacentral:misc_RNA from 1 species
AAAGUCGUAACAAGGUUUCCGUAGGUGAACCUGCGGAAGGAUCAUUACCUGAUACACGGGGGCAGUUCAUUCUGCCCUGUCUGAGUAUUCUACCCAUGAUUUUGCGUACCAAUUGUUUCCUCGGUGGGCUUGCCCACCGAAAGGACAUUAUACAACCCUUUGUAAUUGCAAUCAGUGUCUGAAAACUAUAAUAAUUACAACUUUCAACAACGGAUCUCUUGGUUCUG